rnacentral:rRNA from 1 species
UACAGAGGUGGCAAGCGUUGUUCGGAAUUACUGGGCGUAAAGCGCGUGUAGGCGGCUCUUCAGGUCAGGCGUGAAAGCCCCGGGCUCAACUCGGGAACUGCGCUUGAUACUGUCGAGCUAGAGUGUGGAAGGGGCGAUUGGAAUUCCGUGUGUAGCGGUGAAAUGCGUAGAGAUCAGGAAGAACACCGGUGGCGAAAGCGCUCUGCUGGACCUUAACUGACACUGAGGGACGAAAGCUAGGGGAGCGAAUGGG